AUGAACGCUGGCGGCGUGCCUAAUACCUGCCAGUCGAGCGAACAGACGAGGAGCUUGCUCCUCUGACGUUAGCGGCGGACGGGUGAGUAACACGUGGAUAACCUACCUAUAAGACUGGGAUAACUUCGGGAAACCGGAGCUAAUACCGGAUAAUAUAUUUAACCGCAUGGUUCAAUAGUGAAAGACGGUUUUGCUGUCACUUAUAGAUGGAUCCGCGCCGCAUUAGCUAGUUGGUAAGGUAACGGCUUACCAAGGCAACGAUGCGUAGCCGACCUGAGAGGGUGAUCGGCCACACUGGAACUGAGACACGGUCCAGACUCCUACGGGAGGCAGCAGUAGGGAAUCUUACGCAAUGGGCGAAAGCUUGACGGAGCAACGCCGCGUGAGUGAUGAAGGUCUUCGGAUCGUAAAACUCUGUUAUUAGGGAAGAACAAAUGUGUAAGUAACUAUGCACGUCUUGACGGUACCUAAUCAGAAAGCCACGGCUAACUACGUG
rnacentral:rRNA from 1 species